AGCCUGAACGCUGGCGGCGUGGCUAAGACAUGCAAGUCGUACGGACCCGCAAGGGUCAGUGGCGCACGGGUGAGUAAUGAAUCGCUAACGUAUCCCGGACUCAGGGAUAGCUGUCCGAAAGGGCAGGUAAUACCUGAUGAUAUAACCUUGUCGCAUGACUGGGUUCUCAAAGGUCCGCC
rnacentral:rRNA from 1 species